UACGAAGGGGGCUAGCGUUGCUCGGAAUCACUGGGCGUAAAGGGCGCGUAGGCGGCGCGGAAAGUCGUCGGUGAAAGCUCGGGGCUCAACCCUGAGUCUGCCGGUGAUACUCCCGCGCUCGAGCUCACUAGAGGCAGAUGGAAUUCCUGGUGUAGCGGUGAAAUGCGCAGAUAUCAGGAGGAACACCGGUGGCGAAGGCGGUUCUCUGGGCCUUACCUGACGCUGAGGAGCGAAAGCGUGGGGAGCGAACAGG
rnacentral:rRNA from 1 species